rnacentral:rRNA from 1 species
AUGGUGGUCUCGUACACGCAGGAGCACGUGUACCUCCACCCCUGGCACCGGGUCACCGCGGCGGCGUGGCGCAAGUUCACCGACCCGGCGGCGCGCGCCGCGCCGCUCUCCCACAUCCUGGACGUGCAGACGCUGUCCCGGGACGUCGACCCGCGCGCCGGCCGGCUCCACGCCGUGCGUGCCAUCGCGGGCCGGCCCCCGCCGCUCCCGUUCCUCCUCCGCGGCCUCGCGGCCACCGCCGGCGCCGGCGGCGUGGUGCUCUGCGUGGAGCGCACCUCCGUGGACGCGGCCGCGCGCGCCAUGCGGGUGGUCUCCCGCAACGCCACCUUCCGGCGGCUGGUGGACGUGGAGGAGCGGUGCAGCUACGCGCCCCACCCGGAGCGGCCGGACGAGUGGACGGUGUUCACGCAGGAGACGAGCAUCCGGUGCGCGCCGCUGGCGGCCGUGUCGGCCACGGUGGCCGAGAUGGUGGAGCGGCGGUGCGCAGAGAGCUUCGCGCAGAACGCGGCCAAGGGGAAGGAGGUCGUCGAGAGGAUCUGCGACGGCCUCGCGCUCGCCGACCACGUCCCAGGACCCUCCCCGGCCGAGGGAGAAGAACAGUAG